rnacentral:lncRNA from 1 species
AAAGUUUUUCAAGAUGAGGCUGCUACCUUGUUAAGAAAAUGUUAAUAGUAAGCCAAUUAUUUCACGUCAUUAUUAAUUGAUCACAUUGUUGAAAUGUAACUUCUUUUGUCUUGUUCUCAUUGACACAUACAACAACAACAACAACUACCCAGUAUACUCCCACAAAGUGGGGUAUGGGGAGGGUAAUAUGUAGACGGGCCUUACCCCUACCCGAAAGAGCAGAUAGGUUGUUUCCAAUCGACCAUCGGCUCAGUGAAGGCAAGAAAAAAAAACAAGAACAAAAGAGCAUUAGUAACUCCAGCAAAAUAACGUAAAUAAUUGAGCCUUACCCCUACACGAAAGGGCAGAGAGGCUGUUCUCAUUGACACAUAUUACAGUAAUUUACUUGAAUAUUACAGUAUUUUUUUGUUCCACUUUUAAGAAAGCUUAGAAUACUGCUAGGGUUUUUCUUGUUAUCUUUGAUUACGCGAUGCCACUCGAACUCAGAAGAUCUUUAGUUCUGAUGGUUGGCUUAAAGAAUCAUUUUUGCUUUCAAUAAUAUAUUAGUGACCCAUUUAUAUCAGUUAGAGUAAUAUUUGUUAUGUAACUGAUAUGAUACUUUUCGAAUAGCCAAAAUAACCACUCACGUUAUUGAAUUCUUAUCCCGAAUCUUAAUUAACUUCUUAGGGCUAAUGAAAUGAUUAUAUGCAUGGUAAGAAAUGGGAGGUAUACCUCGUUUAUUAAAUUGGACAGAAUAAUACUGCAAAGACUCUAGGUUGGAAGAAGAUUUCAGUUACAAACUGUAUGAGAUUAGGAUCAUCAUGAAGAGCAGAAAAUCAAGGCACAUUGAGAAGAGAUAAGGUGCACACUGUAUUGCAAUGUAAAAGUGUAGACAUCUGACAAUAAAUCUAACUCCGCACGCGCCACAACUAGCACUCUUAGGCUUUAUCUAAAGUUCUAUUUGAUUUCCUUUCUGUUGUAAUUUUUGGUGCUUACAUCAGUGAACAGCCAAAAUUUAAACUACUUGGUCCUAAAUUCAAUUUCCUGAGUUGCUGC